UACGUAGGGUGCAAGCGUUAAUCGGAAUUACUGGGCGUAAAGCGUGCGCAGGCGGUUUUGUAAGUCUGACGUGAAAUCCCCGGGCUCAACCAGGGAAUUGCGUUGGAGACUGCAAGGCUAGAAUCUGGCAGAGGGGGGUAGAAUUCCACGUGUAGCAGUGAAAUGCGUAGAGAUGUGGAGGAAUACCGAUGGCGAAGGCAGCCCCCUGGGUCAAGAUUGACGCUCAUGCACGAAAGCGUGGGGAGCAAACAGG
rnacentral:rRNA from 1 species